GACGAACGCUGGCGGCGUGCUUAACACAUGCAAGUCGAACGGAAAGGCCCUGCUUUUGUGGGGUGCUCGAGUGGCGAACGGGUGAGUAACACGUUAGUAACCUUCCCUUGACUUUGGGAUAACUUCAUGAAACUGGGGCUAAUACCGGAUAGGAGCUCCUGCUGCAUGGUGGGGGUUGGAAAGUUUCGGCGGUUGGGGAUGGACUCGCGGCUUAUCAGCUUGUUGGUGGGGUAGUGGCUUACCAAGGCUUUGACGGGUAGCCGGCCUGAGAGGGUGACCGGCAACAUUGGGACUGAGAUACGGCCCAGACUCCUACGGGAGGCAGCAGUGGGGAAUAUUGCACAAUGGGCGGAAGCAUGAUGCAGCAACGCCGCGUGCGGGAUGACGGCCUUCGGGUUGUAAACCGCUUUCGCCUGUGACGAAGCGUGAGUGACGGUAAUGGGUAAAGAAGCACCGGCUAACUACGUG
rnacentral:rRNA from 1 species